UUCGCCCUUAGAGUUUGAUCCUGGCUCAGAGCGAACGCUGGCGGCAGGCUUAACACAUGCAAGUCGAGCGGGCGUAGCAAUACGUCAGCGGCAGACGGGUGAGUAACGCGUGGGAACGUACCUUUUGGUUCGGAACAACACAGGGAAACUUGUGCUAAUACCGGAUAAGCCCUUACGGGGAAAGAUUUAUCGCCGAAAGAUCGGCCCGCGUCUGAUUAGCUAGUUGGUGAGGUAACGGCUCACCAAGGCGACGAUCAGUAGCUGGUCUGAGAGGAUGAUCAGCCACAUUGGGACUGAGACACGGCCCAAACUCCUACGGGAGGCAGCAGUGGGGAAUAUUGGACAAUGGGGGCAACCCUGAUCCAGCCAUGCCGCGUGAGUGAUGAAGGCCCUAGGGUUGUAAAGCUCUUUUGUGCGGGAAGAUAAUGACGGUACCGCAAGAAUAAGCCCCGGCUAACUUCGUGCCAGCAGCCGCGGUAAUACGAAGGGGGCUAGCGUUGCUCGGAAUCACUGGGCGUAAAGGGUGCGUAGGCGGAUCUUUAAGUCAGAGGUGAAAGCCUGGAGCUCAACUCCAGAACUGCCUUUGAUACUGGGGAUCUUGAGUUCGGGAGAGGUGAGUGGAACUGCGAGUGUAGAGGUGAAAUUCGUAGAUAUUCGCAAGAACACCAGUGGCGAAGGCGGCUCACUGGCCCGAUACUGACGCUGAGGCACGAAAGCGUGGGGAGCAAACAGGAUUAGACACCCUGGUAGUCCACGCCGUAAAC
rnacentral:rRNA from 1 species